UAGCAUAUCAAUAAGCGGAGGAAAAGAAACCAACAGGGAUUGCCCCAGUAACGGCGAGUGAAGCGGCAACAGCUCAAAUUUGAAAUCUGGCCCCUCGGGCCCGAGUUGUAAUUUGUAGAGGAUGCUUUUGGCAAGGUGCCGCCCGAGUUCCCUGGAACGGGACGCCGCAGAGGGUGAGAGCCCCGUCUGGCUGGCCGCCGAGCCUCUGUAAAGCUCCUUCGACGAGUCGAGUAGUUUGGGAAUGCUGCUCAAAAUGGGAGGUAUAUGUCUUCUAAAGCUAAAUAUUGGCCAGAGACCGAUAGCGCACAAGUAGAGUGAUCGAAAGAUGAAAAGCACUUUGAAAAGAGGGUUAAACAGUACGUGAAAUUGUUGAAAGGGAAGCGCUCAUGACCAGACUUGGGCUUGGCGGAUCAUCCGGCGUUCUCGCCGGUGCACUUCGCCUCGCCCAGGCCAGCAUCAGUUCGCGCCGGGGGACAAAAGCUUCGGGAAUGUGGCUCCUCCGGGAGUGUUAUAGCCCGUUGCAUAAUACCCUGGGGCGGACUGAGGUUCGCGCAUCUGCAAGGAUGCUGGCGUAAUGGUCAUCAGCGACCCGUCUUGAAACACGGACCAAGGAGUCGUCUUCGUAUGCGAGUGUUCGGGUGUCAAACCCCUACGCGUAAUGAAAGUGAACGCAGGUGAGAGCUUCGGCGCAUCAUCGACCGAUCCUGAUGUUCUCGGAUGGAUUUGAGUAAGAGCAUACGGGGCCGGACCCGAAAGAAGGUGAACUAUGCCUGUAUAGGGUGAAGCCAGAGGAAACUCUGGUGGAGGCUCGCAGCGGUUCUGACGUGCAAAUCGAUCGUCAAAUAUGGGCAUGGGGGCGAAAGACUAAUCGAACCUUCUAGUAGCUGGUUUCCGCCGAU
rnacentral:rRNA from 1 species